UAUCCUCGUAGUUGUGCAUCAUUCAUUUUGAAAUACAAUGUUCUUUGAGUUGCUCUGCAUUUUCCGGGCUGUAUGGCCAUGUUCCAGAAGCAUUCUCUCCUGAUGUUUCACCGACAUCUAUGGCAGGCAUCCUCAGAGGUUGUGAAGGAUAUUGGAAAGCUAACCAAGGGAGGUUUAUAUAUCUGUGGAAGGUCCAGAGUGGACUCCAGUGGACCUCCAACAGACAAGAUUGAGGAUGUCAUAGAAAAGUCUACAUGAUUGUUCAAAAAGAUAACUUGAUUGCAUUCUGGAUUAACAUAAUCUUGAACACCAAAUCCCAUAAAUAAAGAAUUGUUGUUGUUGGGUAUAAUAGUUAGAUGGAAGUUGCAGUCCAGACCAAAACAUUUCUUGGGUUAAAGUUUCUCAAUUUAUACUCUACAUUAUCUUGGGCAGAGGUUCUUCUUGUCCAAUACAACCCAGUAGAUCUCUUAACAACAGCCUACUUGGAGGACCGUUGAGGAGAACCUCAAAGAACCAUGAGCAAGAAGAUACUAGACCUUGAACAAUAAACUUCUUGACCACUCCUUACUACUACUGAGCUUUCUUUCUUCUCAACAGAACAAAUAGAGCCAUUCAAGGAUAAUUCUCAACUUGAUAUUUGCUGUCAGCAUGGUGUUCUUCUGCCCAACUCAUGCUUAACUUAGUUGCGCCAUUUCCUGCUCAAGUAAACAUUCUUCUUGUGAGGUCUUCUGGGAGAACUUCAAACACAAAGGAGGAGCUUUGAUCAGCCAUCAGCCUACUAAGGGUCACCCACAUGUUAUUUGUCUGUUUGUGGCAAAUUGCAUAAACAUAAUGUCGUGUCCCAGAAAGGUAACCUAAUGCAAGCUGUCGUCCCGUCAGCAAUUUUUGUUCGUAUUUCCCCCUCAAUAGUACUUAUUAUUUGUGCUUAUAAGACACCUACAAAACAGGUUCCUGAGGCAUCGUACAAUUACCUUGACGAAAGGAUCAUGCGACAAAAUGCUUACAAAUAUGUGAAAAUGCAAUCCUCCUAUGUAAAUGGGAUUUUAAAAAGGGACUGGGCUGGGAUUAUAGAUCUGCAAUGUCAAGCCGAUUGUCACAAUAUAUAAAUAGCUGAAGCCGAAUGUGGAAUAAAGCAGUGGAUAAAAUCGUCAAAGUGUCAUAGAGAUCCAAAUGGCCAAUAUUUAAAAGGAUUAGAAGAACAAGUGCGUCUCAUCUAAGAACAGAACAGACAGUGUUGAAACCAGACACAUUUAUAGUAGGGAGAACAUUCUUAGAGUUGCUAUGAGUUUUCCGUGCUGUCUGUCCAUGUUCCAGAAGCAUUCUCUCUUGAUGUUCAGGCAUCCUCAGAGGUUGUGAGGUCUGUUGGAAACUAGGCAAGUGGGGUUUAUAUAUCUGCGAAAUCUCCAGGUGGGAGACAGGUAGACUCCUUGAGAGGUGAGAUGAUCUCUCUUGUCUUUUGCUGAACGUAGCAUUUGUUGGAUUUUCUUGGUGGGUCUGAAGAUAGUUUGUAGGUUGUGGUUCUUCACCAGGUUCCCUAUGUGGUCAGUGGUUCCAUUGAUGUAUGGUAAGAACACUUCCUCUGGGUUGCCAUCAUCUUGACUCUCGUAGCUUGUUCUUGACCUGUCUGUGGUGUCUGUGGUGGAGUCUCCAUUGGCCUGGAGAGCCCAGUUGAGGUGGUUCAGUUCACCUUGGAGGAGAUAUGGUUUGCAUGGUCUGCCAGGGCUUUGAUUCUUCUCCUUUUUUAACCUGGGUAAUGGUGGGAGUUUUUCUGUGAGUAUCUAUCCAUAUGUGUAGGUUUUCUGUCAACUGUGUGGUCCAAUUGUUGACUGGGUUUGCGGAUGACUAGGACAUCUAGAAAUAACAGUUUUCCUUCAUUUUCUUUGUCUAUGGAGAAUUGGCUGUUUGCGUGGAUGCUGUUGAGGUGGUCCAGGAACUUGUUGAGUUCUUCUCCAUGGCUCCAAAUGGUGAAGGUGUUGUCCACAUAUUUGAACCAUAUAGUGGUGUCAUCCACAUAUUUGAACCAUCUAGUGGGCUUUUUUGUUGCUGCUUCCAGGACUUGUUUCUCAAAGCGUUCCAUGUAGAAAUCUGCUAUGACUGGACUGAGAGGGCUCCCCAUGGCUACUCCAUCCUAAAAUCCAUCCUAGAAUCCAUUGUCCCAACGGAAGUAGCUAGUGAUGAAGCAAUGGCGAAACAGGGCUGUGGUGUCUUCUGGGAAAUUCUGGUUGAUUCGUGUGAUGAUGUCUGCUACCGAGACCUUGGUAAAUAGAGAUACCACAUCAAAGCUGAACAUUGGUGUUUGUCAUUGGUGUUAAGGUUGAGUUUGCUGAUUUUUUUUUCUAUGAAGUGGACUGAGUCCUUGAUGUAGUGCGUAGUGAGCCCAAUAUGGGUUUGUAGCUGUGUGGCCAGAAAUUUUGCCAGAUAGUACGUGGGGGAGCCAAUGACAAUCACGAUGGGUCUGAGUGGGGUGGAGUCCAUAUGGAUCUCUUUCCGCUGAAGCUCUGAAGACACUUCUAUCCAACCUGAGGUCACUCUCUGCUCAUUCUUCUCUAAAGUUAUAUGGGUCUGAGUGGGGUGGAGUCCAUGUGGAUCUCUUUCCGCUGAAGCUCUGAGGACACUUCUGUCCAACCUGAGGUCACUCUCUGCUCAUUCUUCUCUAAAGAUGUAUGGGUCUGAGUGGGGUGGAGUCCAUAUGGAUCUCUUUCCGCUGAAGCUCUGAAGACACUUCUAUCCAACCUGAGGCCACUCUCUGCUCAUUCUUCUCUAAAGAUGUAUGGGUCUGAGUGGGGUGGAGUCCAUAUGGAUCUCUUCCUGCUGAAGCUCUGAGGACACUUCUGUCCAACCUGAGGUCACUCUCUGCUCAUUCUUCUCUAAAGAUGUAUGGGUCUGAGUGGGGUGGAGUCCAUAUGGAUCUCUUCCUGCUGAAGCUCUGAGGACACUUCUGUCCAACCUGAGGUCACUCUCUGCUCAUUCUUCUCUAAAGUUAUAUGGGUCUGAGUGGGGUGGAGUCCAUGUGGAUCUCUUCUUGCUGAAGCUCUGAUGACACUUCUGUCCAACCUGAGGUCACUCUCUGCUCAUUCUUCUCUAAAGAUGUAUUUUUAGAGUAUUUUUCAUACUUACUAUCGUGGGUGGAAAGUUGAACCAAGGUUUGCAUCCUAUUGGGGUUACAUGUCAGGUAAUACCAUUUACUCCAUUCAUAUAUCAGCUCAAUAAUUGAUUCGGUAGCACUUCAUCUCCUUACACGUCUUUCUUAAGUCAAUGUUUUACAUAUCUGCUAGCUGUAUCGGGGAAAUUUCAUAAAAGGAGGUUCUGCUUUUCUUGGAGAGCAAGCACUGAAGCUUGGUGACGUGAUGGCAUUCAGGAAAUUGCAACCCGGAGUCAUUUUUGGCCUAUGGAGUUAUAAUAUGAAAUUCAUCAGAAGGGCGUAACAUUCACUAUAUUACACCCUGGUGAGGAGAAACUAAUUGUCACUUAGCUGGGAGGGUCAAUUAUUUUCUUAGGCCCUAAACUAUUUACUAUAAAAUGAGGUGUUCCCUUAUGACAACGGAUUAGGAAAUCCAGGGUGGGUAUCUCCAUGCCUCGAGGAGAUGUUGCUGAGUGUAUAAAAAGCUCAACCUUGAGGGUUCUUGCAGAACAAUUUCCCUCUAGACAUUAGUCCUUUCAAGAACUGACUCCUCUCAAGUCCUGCCAAGAUGUCCAAUGAGGGAAACCAGUGCUAUUCCUGCUGCCCUGCUUCCACGGUGACCAUCCAGCCACCUCCUUUCGUCCUGACCAUCCCGGGACCUGCUCUCUACUGCCCUGACCAACCAUUGGCUAUUGAGCAGCACAACCCCUGUGUCGUCGCUAGCAGCGGAGGAGCCAGACCCGCCCUGCAUGCCAAUGGUGGCUCCAAUUUCACCAGCUUCUACUCCCGGGUUUUGCCAAGCAGCAUAUACAACUAUACCUACCGCUCAUAGGAAAUGAUGGAGAUGGAAAAUGAAGCAAGAAGCCACACUUACGUCCAUAACUGUCAUUUGUUGUCCAAGGAGCUGAACAUGUAAUGUUCAACACCUCUAAAGUUCCGAUUGUAAUGCAUGCUUUGCUUCCCCAUUGUUCAUUUUCAUCUUGUCUAUGUCUUCUUCUAUGUGUGUGUUGUUGAUGUAUCUGGGUGUCUCUACAUGAAUCGAGACAUGUACUAACCCAACUGCUAUUCAUUAUUGGCUGUGAGAAAGAGGUGGAGAUAAGCCUGCUGAGUUAUCCAACCUGUCCGAGGUCUUUUAUGGUGACCACCCAAAAAAGGGAAGCUCUUCUUGUUUCUGAAGGCCACCUUGUUUGUUAAACCGAAUUGAAUGUCUUCCUUCUUGUCUUUGUUUCUAUUAAAACCAUAACUAAAGUUGCAUCCUCA